GAUGAACGCUGGCGGCGUGCCUAAUACAUGCAAGUCGAGCGAACAGACGAGGAGCUUGCUCCUCUGACGUUAGCGGCGGACGGGUGAGUAACACGUGGAUAACCUACCUAUAAGACUGGGAUAACUUCGGGAAACCGGAGCUAAUACCGGAUAAUAUAUUGAACCGCAUGGUUCAAUAGUGAAAGACGGUUUUGCUGUCACUUAUAGAUGGAUCCGCGCCGCAUUAGCUAGUUGGUAAGGUAACGGCUUACCAAGGCAACGAUGCGUAGCCGACCUGAGAGGGUGAUCGGCCACACUGGAACUGAGACACGGUCCAGACUCCUACGGGAGGCAGCAGUAGGGAAUCUUCCGCAGUGGGCGAAAGCUUGACGGAGCAACGCCGCGUGAGUGAUGAAGGUCUUCGGAUCGUAAAACUCUGUUAUUAGGGAAGAACAAAUGUGUAAGUAACUAUGCACGUCUUGACGGUACCUAAGCAGAAAGCCACGGCUAACUACGU
rnacentral:rRNA from 1 species